rnacentral:rRNA from 1 species
AUGUUGGUUUAAUUUCGAUGCAACGCGAAAACCUUACCACCUUUGACAUGUACGGAAUCCUUUAGAGAUAGAGGAGUGCUCGAAAGAGAGCCGUAACACAGGUGCUGCAUGGCUGUCGUCAGCUCGUGUCGUGAGAUGUUGGGUUAAGUCCCGCAACGAGCGCAACCCUUGUCAUUAGUUGCUACAUUCAGUUUGGGCACUCUAAUGAGACUGCCGGUGACAAACCGGAGGAAGGUGGGGAUGACGUCAAGUCCUCAUGGCCCUUAUAGGUGGGGCUACACACGUCAUACAAUGGAUGGUACAAAGGGUCGCCAACCCGCGAGGGGGAGCCAAUCCCAUAAAGCCAUUCGUAGUCCGGAUCGCAGUCUGCAACUCGACUGCGUGAAGUCGGAAUCGCUAGUAAUCGUGGAUCAGAAUGUCACGGUGAAUACGUUCCCGGGCCUU